rnacentral:rRNA from 1 species
UGGGCUUGACAUCCCACGAACCUGCCCGAAAGGGUAGGGUGCCCGCAAGGGAGCGUGGAGACAGGUGGUGCAUGGCUGUCGUCAGCUCGUGUCGUGAGAUGUUGGGUUAAGUCCCGCAACGAGCGCAACCCUCACCCCUUGUUGCCACCGGGUAAAGCCGAGCACUCUAGGGGAACUGCUAGCGUUAAGCUGGAGGAAGGCGGGGAUGACGUCAAGUCAUCAUGCCCCUUACGCCCUGGGCUACACACGUGCUACAAUGGCUGGUACAAAGGGAUGCGAUACCGCGAGGUGGAGCUAAUCCCGGAAAACCAGUCUAAGUUCAGAUUGCAGUCUGCAACUCGACUGCAUGAAGGAGGAAUCGCUAGUAAUCGCGCGUCAGCACGGCGCGGUGAAUACGUUCCCGGGCCUUGUACACACCGCCCGUCACACCACGAAAGCCGGCUGUACUCGAAGUCGCUGAG